rnacentral:rRNA from 1 species
GAUCAUGGCUCAGGAUGAACGCUAGCUACAGGCUUAACACAUGCAAGUCGGAGGGGCAGCAUGAACUUAGCUUGCUAAGUUUGAUGGCGACCGGCGCACGGGUGAGUAACACGUAUCCAACCUUCCGUUUACUCAGGGAUAGCCUUUCGAAAGAAAGAUUAAUACCUGAUAGUAUGGUGAGAUUGCAUGAUAACACCAUUAAAAGAUUUAUUGGUAAACGAUGGGGAUGCGUUCCAUUAGG